GGAUGAACGCUGGCGGCGUGCUUAACACAUGCAAGUCGAACGGUGAACACGGAGCUUGCUCUGUGGGAUCAGUGGCGAACGGGUGAGUAACACGUGAGCAACCUGCCCCUGACUCUGGGAUAAGCGCUGGAAACGGCGUCUAAUACUGGAUAUGUGACGUGACCGCAUGGUCUGCGUUUGGAAAGAUUUUUCGGUUGGGGAUGGGCUCGCGGCCUAUCAGCUUGUUGGUGAGGUAAUGGCUCACCAAGGCGUCGACGGGUAGCCGGCCUGAGAGGGUGACCGGCCACACUGGGACUGAGACACGGCCCAGACUCCUACGGGAGGCAGCAGUGGGGAAUAUUGCACAAUGGGCGAAAGCCUGAUGCAGCAACGCCGCGUGAGGGAUGACGGCCUUCGGGUUGUAAACCUCUUUUAGCAGGGAAGAAGCGAAAGUGACGGUACCUGCAGAAAAAGCGCCGGCUAACUACGUGCCAGCAGCCGCGGUAAUACGUAGGGCGCAAGCGUUAUCCGGAAUUAUUGGGCGUAAAGAGCUCGUAGGCGGUUUGUCGCGUCUGCUGUGAAAUCCCGAGGCUCAACCUCGGGCCUGCAGUGGGUACGGGCAGACUAGAGUGCGGUAGGGGAGAUUGGAAUUCCUGGUGUAGCGGUGGAAUGCGCAGAUAUCAGGAGGAACACCGAUGGCGAAGGCAGAUCUCUGGGCCGUAACUGACGCUGAGGAGCGAAAGGGUGGGGAGCAAACAGGCUUAGAUACCCUGGUAGUCCACCCCGUAAACGUUGGGAACUAGUUGUGGGGUCCAUUCCACGGAUUCCGUGACGCAGCUAACGCAUUAAGUUCCCCGCCUGGGGAGUACGGCCGCAAGGCUAAAACUCAAAGGAAUUGACGGGGACCCGCACAAGCGGCGGAGCAUGCGGAUUAAUUCGAUGCAACGCGAAGAACCUUACCAAGGCUUGACAUAUACGAGAACGGGCCAGAAAUGGUCAACUCUUUGGACACUCGUAAACAGGUG
rnacentral:rRNA from 1 species